GAAAGACGCGCAUUUAUUAUCAUCAUCCCUAAUUAUCAUUAUCAGAUAUUUCUUUUGGCCACAUUACUCAUGUGGCCUUUU
rnacentral:sRNA from 10 species